GUAAUUCAUCCUUUAAUACCGUAAAUUAAACCUAACAUUAAGAUAUUUAAUACCAACGAAACGUUGGCAUAACAAAAAAUUUCAUUCCAGAUUGGCAGUGAAAACGGUUGCUUUCCCCACAAGCAAAGUAAUACGGCUUCCAUUUGUUUAGCGCAAACUCAAAUCCCUCUCCUCCACCUUGUGACGUGUUUGCCACACGUUUUGCCCAUCUUAAGUCGCACCUCAGAAAGCUCCACAGACUUGGGAACAAAUAAACGCUAUGGGGAUGUAUAUUGGUUUCGCUAGGUGGAUCGAAUUUGAACACUUAUCAUUGAAAAAGAAUGGAGCAUUUGUCCUAGCCCAUUCAGUGUAAUUGAAACCAAAACGCCAAUUAUCAGAUCCACCAACAAUGAUUCGUCUAGAACCCUGAACAGGUUUCGGAUAUGUAAAUGGCUCAUUGGUAUAGUUGAACUCAAAUUUCCAAUUUUGUGGUCCCUUUUGGAAAUCCGGGUUGCUUGACCCAAAUGCGAAUAGUGUAAUAAUUAUGGUUAUCAAGAGUAGCAAUUGCGUACGUGUCAAAGCCAUUUUACUUGCAGUUUGAGUUUUCUCAAAU
rnacentral:lncRNA from 1 species